UACGUAGGGGCCGAGCGUUGUCCGGAUUCAUUGGGCGUAAAGAGCGUGUAGGCGGCCGCUUAAGUCCUGCGUGAAAUCUCGGAGCUCAACUCCGGAUCUGCGGUGGGUACGGGCAGACUAGAGUGAUGUAGGGGAGACUGGAAUUCCUGGUGUAGCGGUGAAAUGCGUAGAGAUCGGAAAGAACACCAACGGCGAAAGCACUCUGCUGGGCCGACACUGACACUGAGAGACGAAAGCUAGGGGAGCGAAUGGG
rnacentral:rRNA from 1 species